rnacentral:misc_RNA from 1 species
AUGUGAAAUGUGGCCUGCCGGCCACGUGAAAGUAAGUGUUGCUGUCGCAACGGGAUAUUUGCU